UACAUCAUCUUCUCCCUCUUC
rnacentral:snRNA from 1 species